CCCGGAAGAAAGAUCCGCACAGCAGUUCAUUUUUCAAUUAAGACGGGUAUAAAAGGCCCAGGACCGUGACAGCCUGUUAUCCAUUGCUUGAAAAAGGUCUAUGGUGUGACCAAAACGCGUAGCUGAUUGGAUGACCAGCUGUGAGGACUUACCAAUUUCCAGUGACCACGUGCUGAAUACCACUCUGUGCAGUGGUGCCAGGCUUUUCAGCCUGGAACCAACAUCUGCUUAUUGAGCAAAGCCCACCACACCUCCCAUAUUGGACACCUAUCAUUCCCAGAACCCUAGAACUGAGUCCCUCUACAAGCCUCUCCACCCUUCCAGCUGAAGAAACAGCACCCAAAAAAGCAGCAAGCCCAGGGCAAGGACCCUCAAUUAAAACAGGCAAGGGAUGCUUUAUCGAAACCACUGGAUGACAGUCACUCAUUUUGAACACUUGGAAAUGUGCAUCGAGCCAUUGACACUGAACAGAUUGUUAUUUUGAACGAUUAACAUCCGAGCUCAUUUUUAAAGGGAGCAACUGUCUCCUAACCAUAGAGAUGAACAUAACAUCCAGCCGCAUUGUUCCUCCUCCUGCUCCACUCUCCACCCCACCACCCCCUACUAUUCCCCCCAAACAUACUUUACACAAACACCCGACUACCCCCCUCCCUCCAACCAGCUCCCCAAUCAGUGCCCUCCUACCAACUCGCUCCCCCACACACCUUUUACCAACCUGCUCCCCCACCAACUGCCUCCUACCAACCUGCUCCAACACCCACCUAUUCCUACCAACCUGGUCUCCAAACAACCUCCUCAUAACAACGUGCUCAAACGCCCACAUCCUCCUACCAACCUGGUUUCCAAAUAACUGCCUCCUACCAAUCAUCUCCCCAACCAGCCUCCUCCAACCAACCUGCUGUACCACCCACCUCAUCCAACCAACCUGCUGCACCACCCACCUCCUCCAACCAACCUGCUACUCCACCGCCCAACUCCACCAACCAACCUGCUCCACUACCCUCACACCCCACUGUUUUUUUCUGGUCUUCUGGAAUCUGAGGACAGUCUGUAAUUGUUUGCACUGUGAUAUGUCCCCUUCCCCCCCAGUCGUCUGAAAGGAUCCUAAUCCUUUAUAAGUAUAGGGCUGUCUGCUGCAUGGUACUUUUUGGCACAGAUUCAAGCCAAACACAUGCUGCAAGUGCACCUCAAUGGGGCCUGGACCAUUGCGGUUGCACCUGCAGCAUGUGUUUUGGUUGUCUACCCUGAAAUCUGUGCCAAAAACCACUGAACAGCUUACCGUCCCAUAUUAAUCAGGGAUUGGGAUACUUGUACAUGCCUUUUGUAAACCAAACGAAACCAAGUAUGUGCCAGGCUGACAUUGUGUCCUCCUAGUCAACUACAAGGAUUCUAUUCGCUGAAAGGUAUACUGCUGUCUGCUGCUUGGUGUUGUUGGCACUGAUUCAGGAAGGGCAUGCUGCAGGUGCUGGUCAGUGGAGCCGAGGCCGUUGAGAAGGCACCUGAAGCAUGCGUAUCAUAGUCCACCUGAAAUCUGUGCCAACACACAGAGCAGCCGACCACAGCAUAUUUAUCAGGGAUUGGGAUACUUGUGCAUACUUUUUUACAAACCAUUUUUGAAUUCCAAAUAUGUGCCAUGUUGGCAGUUUAACCUAUUUUUACAUUUUAAUAGUACUGGCUAGCAUUUUAUAUAGCAAUAUAUAUCUUUAUAUUUAUACACACUUUUAGGCAGCCGUGCUACCCACAAACUUAAGAAAAAUAAAAUUUACCAAAAUGUUUUGCACUGAGGUUUUAAAAAAAGUUUUAAAUAAAACAUUUGUCAUGUUUCACUUUAACCACUUAACUGACGAUUUUUUUCCUCCCAAAACGCUCAGAAAUAAUUUUUUUUAAAUGAGUGAAUUAGGUGAAGAACAUGAAUUUAACAGUAUCCAAAAUGAUUUCAGUAAAAAAAUAAAAAUAAUAAUAAUAAUAAUAAUAAUAAUAAUAAUUUUUCUCAAACAUUGGAACAUCGGUCGGGAAGAUCAGAGAGCAGCAGCUGCUAACACUCUUUAUCUGACUGGUCGCAUCCUGUGCGACCAGGUCAGAUAAAACACUUGCUGGUAUGGUCAGAUCUGAUGCGACCAUGCCAGGCAAGUGGUUAAACAUGGUGUGGUAUGUUUUUUUUUAACUUACCUUACAAUAACGGAACUGCAGCACCUUGACAAUAGCCUUGGAGGUCUCAAGGAUAAUGCGCCCCAAAGCUUGAAAGCUUGAGUGGAGAUGCGGGUCCCAAACUUGAGGUCUUCAUAUGACAAUCCCAUAGCCAGGUAACGCAGCAUAGCCAUGAGCCUCUCCUCAGCAGGGAUCGCCCUCCAGAACUUGGUGUCCUGCCUCUGGCUAUAGGGGGUCACCAGAUGCAGCAACUCCUGGAAGGUGGCUUUAUCCAAUCGCAGGAAGUUGCGGUAGUCCUCUGGGUUAUUCUCCAUAAUUUCCAGUAGCAGGGGCAUGUAGAAAUUACUUUCACUUUCCAGCAACCAAUCCUUGGUCCAGCAGGACCUCUCCCUUCUCUUCCUAUGCUGGACAUCGUAUGUGCAUCUUGUGUCCAAAAAACACCAAAUUGUAUUGUCCAGGAGAUGCCAGGAGGUUGAAGGGAAAUUGUGUUAUGAACCGCAUCGGAUGAGGGUCGUCCUGAUGUUUGGCCAGCAUAAAAUUUCACAUUCCUGUCAAAUAAACUUUCUGUAUUACAUCAGUGGAUCCCAAACUUUUUUGAAUCAUGAUACCCUAGAUUAUCAGAAUCCUUUUCCUGGCACCCCUAGGCCAAAUGUUUGUUACAGAGAAAUUUAGAAUAAAAAAUGUAAAUGAAUUGUUGUGUUUAUGUCACUCUUA